rnacentral:rRNA from 1 species
UACGUAGGGUCCGAGCGUUGUCCGGAAUUACUGGGCGUAAAGAGCUCGUAGGUGGUUUGUCGCGUUGUUCGUGAAAACUCACAGCUCAACUGUGGGCGUGCGGGCGAUACGGGCAGACUGGAGUACUGCAGGGGAGACUGGAAUUCCUGGUGUCGGGGUGGAAUGCGCAGAUAUCAGGAGGAACACCGGUGGCGAAGGCGGGUCUCUGGGCCGAUACUGACGCUGAGGAGCGAAAGCGUGGGGAGCGAACAGG